rnacentral:rRNA from 1 species
UACGAAGGGUGCAAGCGUUACUCGGAAUUACUGGGCGUAAAGCGUGCGUAGACGGUCAUGUAAGUCGGGUGUGAAAGCCCCGGGCUCAACCUGGGAAUUGCAUUCGAGACUGCAUGGCUAGGAUGCGGAAGAGGGAAGCGGAAUUUCCGGUGUAGCGGUGAAAUGCGUAGAUAUCGGAAGGAACACCAGUGGCGAAAGCGGCUUCCUGGUCCAGCAUCGACGUUCAGGCACGAAAGCGUGGGGAGCAAACAGG